rnacentral:RNase_P_RNA from 1 species
GAGAGUAGGGGUAGGCGGUUGCAGAGUAGCGAAAGCUAGUCUGAGGAAAGUCCGGGCUCCCGAAAGACCGAACUUGCUGGGUAACGCCCAGUGCGAGCGAUCGUGAGGAUAGUGCCACAGAAAGAUACCGCCAGAAUAGGGACUGGGGGCUAGGGACUGGGUGCUAGGGAAGAAAUUUCCCAAUACCCAAUACCCAAUACCCAAUCCCCUAUCUUUGGUAAGGGUGCAAAGGUGCGGUAAGAGCGCACCAGCAACGUCGAGAGGCGUUGGCUCGGUAAACCCCGGUUGGGAGCAAGGUGGAAGGAACUAUGGUUGGUCUUUUACCAGUUCCGUUAUUAGGUACCGCUAGAGGCAUCUGGUAACAGGUGUCCCAGAUAGAUAACUGCCCUCUUAGCUUGUAUAGUUAAGAGAACAGAACCCGGCUUAUGACUUGCUCUCUCCC